GAUUUGUUUUAAAAUUAGAUGAAGUACACCUUUCCUAUAAAAUAAUGUAACUCAAAAUGUAAAAAUUAUUGUAGAAAAUCAGACAAGUUAAAAUUUUAAAACGACUGUAUUUCAGCUAAAACAGUUCAAAUAACACUUUAAAUCAACACCUGUGGAAACCAGUGGCAAAUCCAUUACUCAUAAUCCCAUGGGUAUCAGAAUUGCAUACUAGUGUCCUUUGUUCAAAUAAAAUAUAAAUCAAUUCACAGAGUUAUAUAUUUAUAUAAAAAUAACAAAAUAUUAUUUUAUACUGCUCAGAUAUUAAAAAAAAAAUUCCUGUUACAAUGGAUAACAUCAUAUGAACUCAAAAUUAAGGAACCAAGUCACCUACAUCAGUUGGCUUAGCUUUUGAUUUCUGUAGCAACGGGUGCUGCUUCUACUCGUCUGCAUUCUUUUCCUUCCCCUUAUCUUGAUUUGGAGUGAAAAAUUCAAGUUAGAAAGCUUGGUUCCACCUCCCCAUUUCUUCUCCUUUGGUUCAGCCACCUUCUCCCUCUCUCCUUUCUUUUUAUUUUCU
rnacentral:misc_RNA from 1 species